rnacentral:lncRNA from 1 species
AGAGAAGUUCACUUGUGAGAAGGAGAGUGUUAGCUUUGCUUUGGUGUUUAAGGCAAGAGAAGCAGAUUCGUCACGUCUUGGUAGAUUAGAGUUCCGACGUAUCAAAACUUAUCGAAAGGUAACGAAAUUAGGUAGGUUUGUUCCUAAGGAGUGUACGUUGAUUCUCCUUUUUACAGAAGUGAAUUCGGAUUAAUAUUCAGUGAGUUAUAUGCAGUUUGGUGAGACGCUUCUUCUCUGUUGCGAACUGGGAUCAGCGGAGUUUGUAAGUGCGACCCUGGUUUCAUCGUUUCUCCGAUCGGCACCAAAGUUUGUGGGGAGCUUCGUGACGUCUCUAUCUUGCUUUUCACCGUAGGGAUUAAGAAGUUAACGGUUGGUUUAUGUUUUAGGGCUUUGUUUCUGCGGCUGUAGUUUUUCUGGUGUUUCUAUCCUUUUGGUUCUUAGAGCUUUUUGUUUGUGUGGUUUGUUGUAGGGCGUUGUUUGGCUGUUGCAGUCGCGAGGAGAGUCCUUCCUGGUUGUUUUUGUAGUUCAAAUCACCUUGUUAAGGUGAGUGCGUGACCAUGAGCUUAUCUAAGCGAUUGGGGUUGAGUGACUUGUUUGUGAUGAUUUGUAGGUGAAUUGGAAGUGUUAUUGGAUGUUUAACUUGUUGAAUGGUUUGUUUAUGUUAUAUAUGUGGGUGUUAUCUCAUAGCUUGUGUGUAUAGCUCGUAGAUGGGAGGAUCGCUCUCACUGAGUAUUUGUGAUAAUACUCACGCAUCUCAUUGUGUUUGUGGUGCAGGUAAAUUGUGAUCCGUGGAAUCAUGGCGAGGAGAGGAGGAUGAUCUAGGGUCUCGGUUGUUAUGUUUAUGAAUAUGUUAAUUGUUGUUGGAACCUGUUUUAAAGGCAUGCUAGGUUGCUGGUGUAAAUCGCGGUUAUUGAAUGAUUGAUUAAUUAAUAUUAUGAUUAAUUGAUGUUGGUUUAAUA